rnacentral:lncRNA from 1 species
AUGUACUGGAGCAGAGCUUCCCUUCAGAGGAAAUACAUGUUUUUAGGUCUCCAGAGGAGCUCCUCUCACUGCCACAGGUGCAGGGGGUCCAGCUCCCCCAGCCUGUCCUUCACCACCUCUUGCACCACAUCUGUCCAUGCAACAACCAGACCCAAUGCGAGGCGAUGCUGCAGAGGGGGAAACACCACAGCUCUCACCCUGCCCGGCCCCACUGCUGCCUGCCUGGUCCUGGGGAUGUGGAUCUGGGGGCUCCACAAGUGUUCGGCACCUGCUGCUCGCCCCAGCUCCCAGCUGCUGCCUGGCCAGCCCUGCUCUCCCGUCGGCUGGGCUGCGGGAAGCAGCCGCUGAAAGGCGAUCUGCCUGACCUGAUGUGGAAGGGAUUUCACUGGUGUUAGGACACUUGAUGACAGGGGGGAGGGAGGAUUGAAAUGAACUCCUUCCAUCUUCCUGAUGGAAAAUGAGUGCAGACACAUUGCUUUAAUAUCUUCUUUGUAAUUCAUUUCCUCCAGUAAAGACUGAAGACUUGAUGCUUUAUGUGUCUCUGGGUUUAUGCCAGCAAACUACUUGCAAGCUCACCCAUCUGGAAUAGGCAGGGGGCAUUAGUCAUUCUGGUCCAGCUCUUUGUUUCCUCUCUGGGAUGGGCAUUAGCCCCGUUCUGAGCACGGAAGGCUGAGCUACUCCUCUGAGAGGUGAUUUAACUGGUCCUUUUCUUGUCAUUAAGAUGUUAUCUUUCUUGUGCUGUGUCCUGAUGUCUCAUCUUUCUCAGGUGACAAAUUACAGGACAUGAGGAAAUGGCCUUGAGUUGCACCAGGGGAGGUUUAGUUCAGAUAUCAGGAAUAAUUUCUUCAUGGAAAGGGUGCUUAGGGCUGCCCAGGAGAGUGGUGGAGCCUACAUCCCUGGAGGUAUUUAAGAGACAUGUGGAUGUGGUGCUUAGGGACAUCAUGCAGCUGUGGACAUGGAUGUGUUAGGUUGAUGGCUGGACUUGAUGAUCUUUAGGGUCUUUUCCAACAUGAGUGAUUCUGUGAUUCCACCUGUCACCAGGAAGGAGCCACAGCUGAGUCCACAAGUGAGAAGGGUUCCUGUAACCCUGUGGUA